CCGUGUUCCCUUACCCACGCACGAGCAACGGAUGCGUCUCAAAAGAAGUACUGUGCAGAUUUCUGUGAGGCAUGCAGAAAGAGAGUCAACGAAGUUCUUGAAGAUGCUGAUACGGAUGUGGAGUUCUAAUGAUUUAGUGUCAUGGCCAGCUGCAGUACGUUUUCAGUGCAACCUCAAACAGCCAAUGAGAGGUCAGUAUCUGGAUCACGUAUAAUAACAUCAAGUAUGGCUGACAUUCAGGCCAAGAGUGAUGUCUCAAGCAAUGAAAAUAAUGAAGAAACAGU